UCUUCUACAGUCUCCCCAGGCGGGGAGGGGCUGGCUGGGGGUGGGAUAGAUGCCCCCCGAGUUGUAUUUAUAUCUCAGAAGAUGCCACGGAUGCCAGAGGCACAGGCUGGAGUCAGGCGGUCCCCAUGUGCCGCUGUCACUAACACAGCCCCUCCUCCCCCUCCCCUCACCCUCUCCUUUCCUACCUUCCCCUGUCAUUAGGAGGAGGAACCAGAGUCAAUUCUGGGAAGGGGUUGGGGCCAGAGGGCCUGGACCCCAACUUCCCCAUCUCCCCUAUGGACCUGCGAAGACUGGAGGUGCAGCCCCUGGAACCCCAGGGUCCUUUUACCUACCCUCUGCUCCCAAGCCAAUGCCCUUCUCUGGGCAAGACCCAGGCGUCCGGCUGCCCAGCCCUGGGGUGUGUAGGAGGAAAAUGUGAGACUUGGAAAUCAGGCAGUAGAAGUGGAGAGAGGCCCUGGAGGAUGGUGAAAACAGACUGUUCCCCGGGGCCUGGGCCUGCCCUCACCCUGGGCUCUGGUGGGACCUUCCCAUCCUGGCUGGAUCUCUGUCUCAGCCUCUUAACACCUUUCCCAUACGCCAUCCCUCAAGUCUGGAUUCAGAUCUCGGUCUGCUGGGUCUUAGUUCUGGACACGGUGCCUCAUCUCCCCCUGAGAUGAGAAGGUUGCCUUUGCUGGGGGUCCUCUGUAAUGGGGUGGUGUGAGGGAAGGUCCUGGGUAAUCUUCCUGCCUCUGGCUCUGCCUCUAUCACUUCUGGGUCCUUAGCCUCCAAGGCCUCAGUGCAGCUGGCAGCCCUCUGGGCUUUCUCCUCAAGUCUCCCAUGAGGACCGCAUCUGGCAGCCAGGGCAACUGACCCAGUGUCCCUGCCAGCCUUGGCCUCUGCUCUCCUCUCAUAUCUGCCUCUGGCAUUGCUUCUCAGUCUGUUCCUCUGCUCUAUGACUGCUUGUUCUUUUGGUUUUAGUUUUAGGUCUGUCCCCCUCUGUCUUUCUGUCUCACAUCUUGGCGUUCUCUAUCUCUGUUGGAUUCCGGCCCCUUUCAGCUCUCAGCACCCCCAGUACCAACCCUUUUCUUGAUAUUUGGAUCCCUUCAUCAGCCUUUCUUACCAGGAGUCCCCAAGUCUGAGAUUAUGAUAGAGAUCACAAAAUCAGGGGUGUGUGAGACAGGGGGAUGGGAUGGGAGACAGGAUGGGUGGGGGAGGGGUGAAGGGGUGGUGUCCAAGAGGAAUAGGAAUGGGAACACCAGAGGGAUGGGCUCCAAGGGACUGAGGUGAGGGUGGCUGGACCAGAGGAUGAGGACAGAGGAGGGAGAAGAAAGGGUCCAUAAGAACAGGAGGGGAGGCCGGAGAGAGAGUUCCUGGAGUGAAGGGGGGUGGGGUGCCAGCCUGGGUUACCCUGGGGACAGGAAAUGUUUACUGCCUGUGGCUUCCUGUCUGUUUCCAACCUCUCACUUCUCCGUUUGUCUCCCACCCGCCUGCUGGGCCCCACCCCUCUCACUUAGGCGGUACAGCUAGUUGGGGGUGGGUGGGAGCUGCCUACUCAGAGGCACAGUGAUCCGGUUGCCUGCCAGGCCUAGUAGGUGAGGUUGGUGUUGGGGAGAGGUUGCCUUGCCUGGGGCUGGGGGAGGAGAGAGGGGUGCAACCCUCCAUAGCAGAGGCAGCCCCAGAAAACAGCAGUGGUACAGGAGUUCUGGGGUCGGGCACUAGCUCAGUGGAGACUUGGGAAUACCUGCUUCCUCUGGGUGAAGAGGUUGUGAUGGUUACCUCAAAGUCUUCUGGAGCUCUGAUACUCUUCCAGGCCUUGGCCAAGGGACCCUACUCCCACUCUUGAUUCUCCCACCACUUCCCUGGGUGGGGGAAGCAAAGCCUGAGUGUUCCUGGGUUGGCCUGAGGAAGUUUGUGGCGGGGCGGGAAGGUGUGAGAGGGGCCUUACAAGGUUUAUAAAUCCCACAGGCUUGUGCGACAGGGGCCUAGGCUGUGGCCGAGUGAAGGUUCAAGGGAUCUGGCACGCAGGCGAUGGACACAGAUCCCGACCCAGACCUGCCCUGUGCCUCCUGUGGCUUACAACUGAAGAUGCAGUGGUCCUUCCUUCCCAGCUCCUCCAAGUCCAGUCAAUAGUGCCCUCCCCCACUGCCGAGCAAGGCACCCGGUGUCUGGGGUGGCACCUCACACAGCUUAUCCUUAUUCUCCCACUCCAAGUUCCUGCUUCCUAAAUCCUACAGCAGAUGGAUCCUACUAGGGGUCCAAGAAGGAGAAGAUCAGGUUCCAGGAUUGAAGUCUUGAGUAGCUCACCCCAGGUCACACAAAGAACAAGUAAGAGGUGGGGCCUGGACGCACACCCAGCUCAACCUGACUUAAAGCCUGGCCCUUCCCUACCGUGGAACUCCUCUGUGGAACUUCUCUCGGUGCUUACCCUGCCCUCUGAUGCUGUUUCAGUUUCCACCAAGAGAGGUGAGGGAGGGGGCCAAGAACACCGAGGCCCUCCCUCUCCAGCCAUGGUCCCAGGUCCUCCAGACAAAGGAGAAAUCUGUCCCUGUACCCAAGUGGAAUUACCUACAUUAACCCCUUUUCUCCAAAGGGAAAGGAAAUGAGUAGAUACCAGCUAACUGUAUGUGUAAAAACAGUUCACCUCUGA